UAUAUGUCCAGUAGAUUUUAAAGAGUCAAGUGAUGGCUGGAAGAAAUCAUCAUAGUGGUCUGAACCGGUUGGAAAAGAAAUGUGAUACUUCCCCCUCGGUUUCAGUGUUUUACCUCCAGUCGGCACUCUGGUGUUGCUUCAGUAGCGAACAUCAUGUGACUGCGGCAGCCAAUCAGCAGCCUCACCACUUAGUGAUGGUUGCCAUGGUGGUAGGAGUACAGAUCGUGACCAAUGAGGCUGCUGAUUGGCUGCGCGGUCAAAUGACAUUACCUGAUAAAAUAACAGCAGAGCACUGACCGGAGGGAGAAUGGGGGAUCAGCAUGGGGACAGAGGGGGAGCUCCUGCAUCACAGAUCAAUAGAUAUCAGACUGUAGAAGAAGGAACCAUCUGCAUCAUAUCUACAGCUGUGACAUAUCUUACUUUCUCGUUCUCGAGAUCCACCAUCUUCUGCUGUAGAGCAGUCUCCGUCACCUCUAUUUGCUGUAGCCACUAGGAGAGGAGGACAACCAUUAUAGCCAAAGAACAAGACGGAGAUGUGAGAUUCAGUCUACUCUACAAACAAGUCCUUGAAAGAAGAAGAAAUGCAGAAAACAGAAACAAUAAAUAGAAAGUCCACUAGGGGGAGCUAUGGAGCACAUUUAAAAAAAAAAAGACUCCUGGCUGCUUGCUUUAUCCUGGGAGAUUUUCCAGUCUUUUAUUCGCUUUGUUUUAUGCUUUAUACCUGAAUUAGCUUAAAAAAAAGAAAAGAAAAGACAAACACAAGCGUCACCCUGCUGCCAUGGCCGAAUCAACAUUUCUUCCUCACUAGGAAAUGUGGCAAU